CUCCCUAAUGCGAUCCUUUGUGCCAAAUUUCACUUUAAUAUCUUUAUUUAUGGCUUAGUUAUGACACUUUAUAGGUUUUCGGUUUCCGCCAUUUUGUGGGCGUGGCAGUAGGCCGAUUUUGCCCAUCUUCGAACUUAACCUUUUUAUGGAGCCAAGGAAUACGUGUACCAAGUUUCAUCAUGAUAUCUCAAUUUUUACUCAAGUUACAGCUUGCACGGACGGACGGACAGACAGACAUCCGGAUUUCGACUCUACUCGUCGCCCUGAUCACUUUGGUAUAUAUAACCCUAUAUCUGACUCUUUUAGUUUUAGGACUUACAAACAACCGUUAUGUGAACAAAACUAUAAUACUCUCCUUAGCAACAUUGUUGCGAGAGUAUAAAAAUUAA